CAAGUGGUCAUAAAGCCACACAGGAAUCAUUAGGGAAGAUCUCAUCUAGGCACUUCCAGCUGGCUAUAGCAAAGGCAUUUCUGUCUUCUCCCCAGAAUACUGAAGGAAGUAGAAGAGAAAUUUGACUACCGUGGCUCGUACUAUUAAACUGGAAAUUCAAAUGAUGCAACUGGAUAAUAAGCUACUGAAACUAUACAGGAUUAUUUAGCUUUCUUGUUAUCUAAAUUCAUGCCUUGCUAGUGCUUCUAUUUGCUGCUAUGGUGGAACCACAAUUAGAAGAGUAUCCUCAGAUGAGCAACAUAACACCUUUCCCAAACAAUAAUGAAAGAAGAUCUGUAAAAUUCAUAAGAAAUUAUUUUCCACUGAUGAAUGCUUACAUGCUGGAAAUGCUAAGAUACACACUCAGCAGUAGGCAUACAAACAGCCCAAUUGUCUUCACGUUAUAUUAAAUAUGUAUGCAAGUAUUUGUUGAGGCUGGAUCUUUGUAGAUGUAAGAUAUAGUAGUUUUUAAAGGUAAAUAACCCUCUUAUAAAGUUUAGCCAGCAAAAUGCACAUGGAAAAUAAACUUCUUUAGUUUCUUUGCUUU